CUCUGUGACUCCGUACGGGAGGCAGCAGGUGGGGAAUAUUGCACAAUGGGCGCAAGCCUGAUGCAGCCAUGCCGCGUGUGUGAAGAAGGCCGUUCGGGUUGUAAAGCACUUUCAGUUGUGAGGAAGGUGGUGUCGUUAAUAGCGGCAUCAUUUGACGUUAGCAACAGAAGAAGCACCGGCUAACUCCGUGCCAGCAGCCGCGGUAAUACGGAGGGUGCGAGCGUUAAUCGGAAUUACUGGGCGUAAAGCGCAUGCAGGUGGUUUGUUAAGUCAGAUGUGAAAGCCCCGGGGCUCAACCUCGGAACUGCAUUUGAAACUGGCAGACUAGAGUACUGUAGAGGGGGUAGAAUUUCAGGUGUAGCGGUGAAAUGCGUAGAGAUCUGAAGGAAUACCGGUGGCGAAGGCGGCCCCCUGGACAGAUACUGACACUCAGAUGCGAAAGCGUGGGGAGCAAACAGGAUUAGAUACCCUGGUAG
rnacentral:rRNA from 1 species